rnacentral:rRNA from 1 species
UGGGGAAUAUUGGACAAUGGGCGAAAGCCUGAUCCAGCCAUGCCGCGUGUGUGAAGAAGGUCUUCGGAUUGUAAAGCACUUUAAGUUGGGAGGAAGGGCAGUAAGCGAAUACCUUGCUGUUUUGACGUUACCGACAGAAUAAGCACCGGCUAACUCUGUGCCAGCAGCCGCGGUAAUACAGAGGGUGCAAGCGUUAAUCGGAAUUACUGGGCGUAAAGCGCGCGUAGGUGGUUCGUUAAGUUGAAUGUGAAAGCCACGGGCUCAACCUGGGAACUGCAUCCAAAACGUGCGAGCUAGAGUAGGGCAGAGGGUGGUGAAAUUGCCUGUGUAGCGGUGAAAUGCGUAGAUAUAGGAAGGAACACCAGUGGCGAAGGCGACCACCUGGGCUCAUACUGACACUGAGGUGCGAAAGCGUGGGGAGCAAACAGG